AUGAACGCUGGCGGCGUGCCUAAUACAUGCCAGUCGAGCGAACGGACGAGAAGCUUGCUUCUCUGAUGUUAGCGGCGGACGGGUGAGUAACACGUGGAUAACCUACCUAUAAGACUGGGGUAACUUCGGGAAACCGGAGCUAAUACCGGAUAAUAUUUUGAACCGCAUGGUUCAAAAGUGAAAGACGGUCUUGCUGUCACUUAUAGAUGGAUCCGCGCUGCAUUAGCUAGUUGGUAAGGUAACGGCUUACCAAGGCAACGAUGCAUAGCCGACCUGAGAGGGUGAUCGGCCACACUGGAACUGAGACACGGUCCAGACUCCUACGGGAGGCAGCAGUAGGGAAUCUUCCGCAAUGGGCGAAAGCCUGACGGAGCAACGCCGCGUGAGUGAUGAAGGUCUUCGGAUCGUAAAACUCUGUUAUUAGGGAAGAACAUAUGUGUAAGUAACUGUGCACAUCUUGACGGUACCUAAUCAGAAAGCCACGGCUAACUACGUG
rnacentral:rRNA from 1 species